UACGGAGGGUCCGAGCGUUAAUCGGAAUUACUGGGCGUAAAGCGCGCGUAGGUGGUUCAGUCAGUCAGAUGUGAAAGCCCCGGGCUCAACCUGGGAACUGCACCUGAUACUGCUGAGCUAGAGUACGGUAGAGGGUAGUGGAAUUUCCGGUGUAGCGGUGAAAUGCGUAGAGAUCGGAAGGAACACCAGUGGCGAAGGCGACUACCUGGACCGAUACUGACACUGAGGUGCGAAAGCGUGGGUAGCAAACAGG
rnacentral:rRNA from 1 species